CCUACGGGAGGCAGCAGUGGGGAAUAUUGGACAAUGGGGGGAACCCUGAUCCAGCCAUGCCGCGUGUGUGAAGAAGGCCCUCGGGUUGUAAAGCACUUUCAGUGAGGAAGAACGCCUGGUGGUUAAUACCCAUCAGGAAAGACAUCACUCACAGAAGAAGCACCGGCUAACUCCGUGCCAGCAGCCGCGGUAAUACGGAGGGUGCGAGCGUUAAUCGGAAUUACUGGGCGUAAAGCGCGCAUAGGUGGCUUGAUAAGCCGGUUGUGAAAGCCCCGGGCUCAACCUGGGAACGGCAUCCGGAACUGUCAAGCUAGAGUGCAGGAGAGGAAGGUAGAAUUCCCGGUGUAGCGGUGAAAUGCGUAGAGAUCGGGAGGAAUACCAGUGGCGAAGGCGGCCUUCUGGACUGACACUGACACUGAGGUGCGAAAGCGUGGGUAGCAAACAGGAUUAGAUACCCGAGUAGUC
rnacentral:rRNA from 1 species